GAAAAGAGGAACGGGUGGUCCGGAGGCCUCCCACCAGGGCCAUAGGAGUCCUGAGCAUGAGGAAUGGAACCUGCUGUGGGCCGGAGCCCAGUGGUUUGGGGGAUCGCUGGGAGCUGUACACAGUGCCAGAGGCAGAGGGGCACCCCAGCUUAUCCUCCCCCAGCUUCACUCACUGCUCUGGAGGCCCCCCACCAGG